AUUGAACGCUGGCGGCAGGCCUAACACAUGCAAGUCGAACGAGUGGCGGACGGGUGAGUAAUGUCUGGGAAACUGCCUGAUGGAGGGGGAUCACUACUGGAAACGGUAGCUAAUACCGCAUACCCUCGGAUGUGCCCAGAUGGGAUUAGCUAGUAGGGGGGGUAAAGGCUCACCUAGGCGACGAUCCCUAGCUGGUCUGAGAGGAUGACAGGCAACACUGGAACUGAGACACGGUCCAGAAUCCUACGGGAGGCAGAAGUGGGGAAUAUUGCACAAGGGGCGCAAGCCUGAUGCAGCCAGGCGGCGUGUAUGAAGAAGGCCUUCGGGUUGUAAAGUACUUUAAGCGGGGAGACGUUACCCGAAGAAGAAGCACCGGCUAACUCCGUGCCAGCAGCCGCGGUAAUAC
rnacentral:rRNA from 1 species